AAAUGCGAUAGGUAAUGUGAAUUGCAGAAUUCAGUGAAUCAUCGAAUCUUUGAACGCACCUUGCGCUCCUUGGUAUUCCUUGGAGCAUGCCUGUUUGAGUAUCAUGAAAUCUUCAAAGUAAAUCUUUUGUUAACUCAAUUGGUUUCUACUUUGGUAUUGGAGGUCUUUGCAGCUUCACACCUGCUCCUCUUUGUUCAUUAGCUGGAUCUCAGUGUUAUGCUUGGUUCCACUCGGCGUGAUAAGUUAUCUAUCGCUGAGGACACUGUAAAAGGUGGCCAAGGUAAAUGCAGAUGAACCGCUUCUAAUAGUCCAUUGACUUGGACAAUACUUUUAUGAUCUGAUCUCAAAUCAGGUAGGACUACCCGCUGAACUUAAGC
rnacentral:misc_RNA from 1 species